GACGAACGCUGGCGGCGUGCCUAAUACAUGCAAGUUGAGCGAUGAAGAUUGGUGCUUGCACCAAUUUGAAGAGCAGCGAACGGGUGAGUAACGCGUGGGGAAUCUGCCUUUGAGCGGGGGACAACAUUUGGAAACGAAUGCUAAUACCGCAUAACAACUUUAAACAUAAGUUUUAAGUUUGAAAGAUGCAAUUGCAUCACUCAAAGAUGAUCCCGCGUUGUAUUAGCUAGUUGGUGAGGUAAAGGCUCACCAAGGCGAUGAUACAUAGCCGACCUGAGAGGGUGAUCGGCCACAUUGGGACUGAGACACGGCCCAAACUCCUACGGGAGGCAGCAGUAGGGAAUCAUCGGCAAUGGACGAAAGUCUGACCGAGCAACGCCGCGUGAGUGAAGAAGGGUUUCGGAUCGUAAAACUCUGUUGGUAGAGAAGAACGUUGGUGAGAGUGGAAAGCUCAUCAAGUGACGGUAACUACACAGAAAGGGACGGCUAACUACGUG
rnacentral:rRNA from 1 species